rnacentral:rRNA from 1 species
GUGAGGAAUUUUCCGCAAUGGGCGAAAGCCUGACGGAGCAAUGCCGCGUGAAGGAUGAAGGCCUAUGGGUUGUAAACUUCUUUUCUCAGAAAAGAAUUAUGACGGUAUCUGAGGAAUAAGCAUCGGCUAACUCUGUGCCAGCAGCCGCGGUAAGACAGAGGAUGCAAGCGUUAUCCGGAAUGAUUGGGCGUAAAGCGUCUGUAGGUUGUUUAAAAAGUAUUCUGUCAAAGAUUAGGGCUUAACCCUAGAUAGGCAGAAUAAACUUUUAAGCUAGAGUUUGGUAGAGGCAGAGGGAAUUCCAGGUGGAGCGGUGAAAUGCGUAGAUAUCGGGAGGAACACCAAAGGCGAAGGCACUCUGCUGGGCCAAUACUAACACUGAGAGACGAAAGCGAGGGGAGCAAAUGGGAUUAGAAACCCCAGUAGUCC